CUUCCGGCCCGCGCGGCCCCGCCCCCGCGACGCGCCGGGCGGUCACGUGACGGUCGCGCGCGUCCCCGGCCGCUGCGGGCUCCGAGGCCGAAGAGAAAAGACGGCGAGGUGGCCGGGGCUGUGGCCGGAGAGGAGGGAGUCGAGGCGCCGCCCUCGCGGAGGUCACGGCGAAGGCCCGCUGCUCCGGGAUCCUAACUCGGGGGGAAGAGGCACGACUCGCGGUGCCUCCGGCAGGCUCGACGCGCCCCGGUCGGCCUGCUGUCGGGCCCGGAGAGGGGCGGCGGCGGGGUCAGGGCCCGGUGCCAGGGACCCCGCAAGUCCCCAACCCCCACCGCACCCCGUACGUGUAGUGUACACUUUUAAGUGGGAAGUGGAUGUAUAACGUUGGCACUGAAAGCAGUAUAUAAUUACAGAUUUUGGAAGACCUUGGACAUUUUACACAAAGAAUGAACAAGCAGUGGAAGAGAAAAUACUGCAAACUGGCUGACUCCUGGUGAAGAUGUUGUACUUUUCUGGCAGGCAUCUGUGGGAUUUAUAAUAGAAAUAGUGGACAGUGAGAGAGAGAGACAGAAAGAAAGGUCUUCCUUUUUCUGUUGAUUCAUCCCCCUAGGCCGCUACAGCUGGCACGCUGUGGCCGGCACAGUGCGCUGAUCCGAAGCCAGGAGCCAGGUGCCUCCUCCUUGUCUCCCAUGCGGGUGCAGGGCCCAAGCACUUGGGCCAUCCUCCACUGCACUCCGGGGCCACAGCAGAGAGAGCAGAGAGCUGGACUGGAAGAGGAGCAACCGGGACAGAAUCUAGCGCCCCAACCGGGACUAGAACCUGGGGUGCUGGCGCCGCAGGCAGAGGAUUAGCCUAGUUAGCUGCGGUGCCGGCCAUGUAUUUUCAUAUUUAGGAUGUAUUUUAGAUUUAGGAGCAUAGUGAUACUUCCCUCCCUAAGCUCCUUUCUCCUCCUUCCUCUCUUAGUCCCUCUCUUAAUCUCUCUCUCAAUUUUUACAAUGAUCUACUUUCAGUUUACAUUAUACCCAUAAGAUUAACCCUAUACUAGGUAAGCAGAUAGUAAGAGGAAGAAAAACACUAUUCAGGACUGUAAACAAUCAUCAAAGCUCAAAAUAUCAGUUUCACUCCUAUAUAUUACAUUUUUGGUCCUCUGUUCAUUACCACAGAUCAGGGAAAAAUAUAUGGUAUUUUUCUUUUUGGGACUGGCUUAUUUCACUAAGUAUAAUGGUUUCCAGUUGCAUCUAUUUUGUUGCAAAAGACAGAAUUUUAUUCUUUAUUUUUGCAGCUGAGUAGUAUUCCAUAAUGUACAUAUACUUUAAUUUCUUUAUGCUGUCAUCAACUGGUAGAAAUCUGGGUUGAUUCCAUAUCUUAGCUGUUGUGAAUUGAGCUUCAAUGAACAUGGGGGUACGUUUCAUUUUGUUUAGGUAGAUUCCCAGAGUGAGAUUGCAGUGUCGUAUGGUAUAACUAUUUUGAACAAGUUAAAUUUCAUACCCAUUCUAGUGUGAAAGAGCUAAAGAUUGGAGGAAUUUUGUUCUUUUAAAAAGCAAUCACAGUUUUGGGAAGGAGGAUAAAUUUCUUUUUUGGUAUGUCUGCAUUUAUUAAUAGUGAUGUUAACUUAUUCUUUGUUCUUUUUGUGUUUGUAAUUGGAUUCCUUUUAUUUAUUUAAAAUUUGUACUUAGUUGAAAGGCAGAGAGACUCAGAGAUGUGCUGUAUACUGAGGACUCAAUCUGGGUAUCCCAUAUGGGUGGUAAGGGCCCAACUACUGUUGCUCCCACCCAGGUUGCACAUUAGCAGGAAGCUGAAAUUGGAAGCAGAGCUGAAACUCAAACUCAGGUACUCUGAAAUGGCAGGGGGCUUCUGAAGUGGCCACCUGACUGCUGUACCAAACUCCUGCCCAUGCAUUUAAGUUCUGAACCCAUGCUUAAAAAAAAAUCUGACUUUGAAUAUUUGGAAUUUGUGUUGCUGGCUGAAAAGUUCUUCAGUACUGUGAAUGGUAAAUAUCUAUGUGUUUUAAUAAUUUUACCUUUCUUUUAACUGAAUGUCUUCAAGAAGAUUCAAUAAAAUCUGAAUGCUUGGAGAUUUCUACCUACUCUGCCCCCAUAUCCAUCUGUUAUGUCUUCUUGAGGACUAAAGUAUUAAUAGUACUAAUAUUAAUAGACUUUUACUUGCCUUGCAGAAAUACUUUAUAUAGAUUAUCUAUGGAAAGAAGAAUGGGAUUUAUGAUUAAAAGUUAGAUUGUAAGAAUUUAUGAACAUGUCUUAGAAAAUUGGUUCUGUAUUCUUUAGUCUUAGCAGAGUUGGACUAACUUUGCUCCAAAUUUCUAUAUAUUGAGUUUCUUUUUUUUUUUUUUUGUUUUAUUUAUUUAUUUGAAAGUCAGAGUUACACAGAGAGAGAAGGAGAGGCAGAGAGAGAGAGAGAAACAGGUCUGCCAUCCGCUGGUCCACUCCCCAAAUGGCCACAACAGCUGUAGCUGUGGUGAUCUGAAGCCAGGAGCCAGGAGCUUCCUCCCAUUAAGUGGGGUGGAGAAUAAUGCUUUUUAGGUUGAAUACUUUCUUUGUAGAUUAGCUAGCUGUAUCUGAUGGAAAAUUGACUGUGGGUCUGUUUUAUUUAAAGCAAAUAUAACAGGUUUGAAAUGGUGCAUAGAAAAGUACAACAUUGGUCAAAGAGAUAUAUUGGAUAUCUUGUUUUACAGUUUACCAGACUUUUAUUUUCUUACUUAAAUUUUAAAUUUAUUAGGUUGUCCUAUGUUCACAAGAUACCUAAUUGGUUUAGGUUGUGGAACUUAUAUGUAAGAUGUUGCUAUUUUUCCAAAUUGGUGAUGAAUAUCACUCCCCCCUUUUUCAUUUUGUUUAUUAAUCGAUCUUUGAAGGCAAUGUAAGAUAUUUUGAAACUUCUGCAAUGCCUAACACAUACUAAGAAGACUUAUUUGGUUGAUGUAGAACUUCUGAUAGGUUAGAAAAAAAAUAUACUUUACUGAGUUUCUGUAUCUAGAGUUUCUGGUCAAGGAGUUGAUUGGAAAUCUAAAGUUGAAACACAAUUUGAAAUUAAGUUUUUCAUUGAGACUGUUGCAUCCUUUUCUAGAUAACUCCAGUUUAAAAAAAAACUAUCAUUUUAAAUCUUGUCAACUGAAAAUCAGAGACACAGAAAAAGCAGUAAAAUUAGAUGUGCUGUGAUGAAAGUCUAAUAAUGUUUUUCAAUUUUUGGUUAGUGUUAGCAGUUUUAUUGACUAUCCCUUUUACAGCUACUGUUCUCAUUUUUUAUUGCUUGAUCUCAAAUGAAAAGAAUCGUUGUGGUAAUUAAAUUCCUAAAUAUGGCAAAAUUAAUUGGUAGAGAUUGUCACUCAUUUUAAGCAUCAGUUAGUGGUUUUGAAUCUCUGAUAUCUUUACUUCCAUUAAUCAGUCUUAUUUGUCUCUGGGCUACACCCUGUGUCAUUUUUUCCUGUUUUAAAAUAGCUAUUGUUUCCUGUAACUAUGUGAUAAAAGUCAAGCCACAUAUUUCUUUAGCAGGGCACAAUAAGGCUUUUAUGAUUCGGCCUCUGAUUUAUAGCUUCAUCUCCUGCUAUCCUCUUGUUUAUGUGGCUCAGUGCUUUGCACAUGUCUCUGAAGUCUCCACUUCCAAAGCCUCUCAGCAUCGCAAACAUUGUCAUCUCUUUUGUUAUGAUACAUUUUGAUUACUGCAGGAAUAUUGUGCAUAUUAUGAUUGUUUGCAUGUAUAUUUCCUUAAUAGACCAAGUGCGUGGCUGAUUGAUUUUUAGAGCCAUCGAAUACUCGUAUUGUGUAUGAACUAUGGUAGGGAUCUGAUUUGAUAAGGUAGAAAUUCCAAAUUUUAUGUCAGUGUGUUUAAUCAAUACUUAGUUUGACAAAUCGUGCUUUUCUUUCUUUUUCCCUCUUCUUCAGGGCACCUUUGAUAUUCAUGUCAUUUUCUCCCCUGGUCUUCUAUAGAUUGUAAUCUUUUGGAGCUUUAGUGAGUUAAACUUUGUAAAUUCUGGUUGGUAGGUAAGGAAGUUUAAAGGUUUAAAGGUUUAACUGAGUCCCAAAGAGCACAUAAUUAACAAAGAAGAUUAAGACACAGGUUUUUAGUUUUCUUGUCUAGUGUUGAUUUCACAGUGUAGCAGCUGCCUUAAUUCAAGUUACCCUUUCUCUCAUGGCUGACUACAGCUUCUCAUUAUAUAGUAUUUCAGUGUGCUGCUUCAGGGCUGAUCUGUAAGUCCACUGGCAGAAUUUUUAUAUAUUCCCAAAGUAUAUAUAAGUAAAUGCUUAUAUCAGGUGGUUUCACUUAAUAUUAUUUAAAGUAAAAUAAAAAUACCAAUUUUAUGAUACCAUGAUGUGUUCAUGUUAUUGUUUGAAAAAAAAAAACAUUUUUUUAAAGCAAAUAUUUGAAUGUUCUCUAUCUGCCAGAUCCUGUAUGCAAAUAGAGCAGUGAGCCAAAAAUGACCUGUUCCUGCCCUUACAAAGCACACCAGCUUGUGGGGAAGACUGACAUUAACAAAAUAACCACACAAAUAAAUGUAACAUUGCAGUUCUGAUAAGGAAUGAGGAGUGCAUGGUAGUAACGAAUUAGUAGCAUGAUCUGACUUCCUCAUGGAGGCUUUCUCAAAGGGAUCGGAGAUGGGUAGUAGCUUAAGAAAGGCAGGAGAUGAGGAGGGACUGUUUAUAUAGAGAAAACCUAUGAUUGGUAGGAAGUAGUCAGUGUGCUUAGAAGUCUAAUGGAUGUUUGAUAGGAGAUGGAGGUUGCAAUGGGAGGUGGGGCCCAGAUCAUGGGGAAUAUAGAGAGCCCUGUUAGAGACUGGUCUGUAUCCUAAAAUCAAAUUUUUAAGCAACAGAUAUGGCUGUACCAAUUAAACAGUGUAUGCAGUAAUUCAGUAAACAAUGCUUGGUAGCCAGGGAAAGGUGAUGGAUUCAGGAGAUACAACUGAUAGGACUUGCUGAUGUUUUGUGUAGGGAGGGAUAGGAGAAGGGCAGUUUCUAGGUUGGGUUUUUGGGUAGCAUAAGCUUUAUGGAUAGUGGUAUUACCAUGGGAUUUUUAUCGAGCAAAAAAGAAGGAACAGAUGAUUACAGUUUUUGUAAGAUCUAAUAUAGGUAAUUGAAAAUACAGAUUUAUGACUGAAAGGAGAGGUCUGGGCAAGUGAUAGCAAUGUGUGUGUGAUUUCCACCUUGGCAAUAGCUGAUCCAUGAGUACAGAUGAGAUCAUCUCAAAGAGUACAUUGAUAACACAUGCUUUAGAAAACAGACAAACGCAACCCCCCAACUCUCCAUUUCAGAGAGAGGAGCUGGUCAAAAGUAUGGCAGAAAUGAGUGGUUCAAGGAAUAGUUUUAGAUACAUGCAGGGACAGGGAAUGUCUAAGGCUUUCAUCUAAAUUUCAUAUUUAUCUGCUUGUUUAAUACCCCAGAUAUAUAAAUAUAUGGCAAAAUUUAUAAAAUAGCCAUACUAAUAUCCUGUCUCCAGAAUUGGUUUUUGCAGUUGUACUCUGAAUUUGCUAUUUUGUUUGUCUAACUACCUUUCAGAUUGACUGUAAAGUCAAUUUAGGACAGAUUGUUUAUAUUUCUAAAUCUUUGCAUUUAGUUCUGAUGUAUUCUGUGUCCAGAUGGAAAUAGUGUAUUUAAAAUCUGUGCUCUAGACAUAUAUAUAUAUGUACAUAUAUGUGUGUGUAUAUAUAUAUAUAUCAUAUAUACAGGGGUGUGUGUGUGUGUGUAUAUAUAUAUAUAUAUAUAUAUAUAUAAUGGGAUUGUUUCAGUUUGGUUUAACAUUUAUGUACCUCAUUGUCCCCUGCAGUUAAAACUGAUAGCAAAAAUCAAAAAGAUUUUGUAUAUAAAUGGAGUUUUCUUCUUAUUUUCAUCUUUGUAUCCCCAUUGUUUAGUAUGUGGCUUGCAUAUAAUGUAUGCUUAAUAAGUGCUUUCUGGAAAGUGCUUUAGGAAAGUUUAAACACAAUUAAAAAUUUUUUUUCUCAU